rnacentral:rRNA from 1 species
CCUACGGGAGGCAGCAGUGGGGAAUAUUGGACAAUGGGGGGAACCCUGAUCCAGCCAUGCCGCGUGUGUGAAGAAGGCCUUUUGGUUGUAAAGCACUUUAAGCGAGGAGGAGGCUACUCUAGUUAAUACCUAGGGAUAGUGGACGUUACUCGCAGAAUAAGCACCGGCUAACUCUGUGCCAGCAGCCGCGGUAAU